rnacentral:rRNA from 1 species
UACAGAGGGUGCAAGCGUUAAUCGGAUUUACUGGGCGUAAAGCGCGCGUAGGCGGCUAAUUAAGUCAAAUGUGAAAUCCCCGAGCUUAACUUGGGAAUUGCAUUCGAUACUGGUUAGCUGGAGUGUGGGAGAGGAUGGUAGAAUUCCAGGUGUAGCGGUGAAAUGCGUAGAGAUCUGGAGGAAUACCGAUGGCGAAGGCAGCCAUCUGGCCUAACACUGACGCUGAGGUGCGAAAGCAUGGGGAGCAAACAGG